UGAAAAUCUUGUUUGGUGGAUCUGGGCUCUGACACUUGUGAACUACACCCUCUCCCCUGUUCAUAGAUUCUAUGUGUCUUUUCAUCCUCCAAUGUCUGUAGACAUCAAUUUUGCCCAGCCUCUACUCUUAUCAAGAGAAAUAUGAAAUACAUCACUGAGCUAGAUAAUUUGUGAAUGGAAUUCUAUGUGGACAAACAUACAGUAGUUUGUAUACCUUCUGCACUAAACAGAAUCCUUUUGACCAGGAUGGAGGAGGCACACAGCUGCCUGGCCUUGGUUAAGCUUUCUACUGUGGCUGUCUGCAUCCAUACCAGGUUUGUCAGCCUGUGGGGAGCCCACCUGCUCCCUUGGCAUUGGAGAGCAACAUGACAUGGGGAAGAGACUUCAGGUGACAUUGAAAUAUGGGUAAUUAAUCUUUGACCAUCCAGGAAGGCCAUGUGUUAAAAUGAAUCUCUCGCUCAUUCCUCCUGAGUGACGGUUUUUGCCCCCAUCAUCAGCCCUCCUUUCCCAUUAAUUCUUGGCCUCCAGGCACCAUUUUCUAUUGGAUAGUCUCAUUCAACUUUCUCAGAAGGGAUAUUCUGUGGGAAUUGCUUUCUUAGAUGACAAAUGUGUUAAGUCCGCCAACCCUAAAAUAUUUAUAUUUGAGAAGGAUAUUUGAAAUAAUGAAGAUAAAAUGUAGAAAUACAUGCAGGCACCCCACCUGUUUGUUUCCACAAGCAUCUCCACUGUUUUCAUGGCUCACUGGUAGGUGUCUCUUUGUGGCCAUAAGGCAUAGUCUGUGAAAGCAGUUUGCAAUUUGAUUUUCUUGGUCUCUUGCU
rnacentral:lncRNA from 1 species